rnacentral:misc_RNA from 1 species
GUUCAAAAUUUUCUUUUAUUACAUUCUUCAACUUGUACUUUGGUGUUUGUUAAAAUCAUAGACAAUGAGCAAGGGAACAAUGAAGCCCUUUCCUGCUUUUUGCCUACAGAAUGUGCACAGGUGGAUGGAUAUGAGGUUAGGAGUGCACAUGCAGUAAAGCCAGCACAUCCUUUGUUUUCUUUAAUGAUCCUUCCGCAGGUUCACCUACGGAAA